rnacentral:rRNA from 1 species
UAAGGACAUGCAAGUCGAACGGUAACGACACUAGCUUGCUAGUGGGCGACGAGUGGCGGACGGGUGAGUAACGCGUAGGAAUCUACCUAGUAGUGGGGGAUAGCCAAGGGAAACUUUGGGUAAUACCGCAUACGAUCUAAGGAUGAAAGGGGGCCUCUCUUUGAAGCUCUCGCUAUUAGAUGAGCCUGCGUAAGAUUAGCUUGUUGGUGAGGUAAUGGCUCACCAAGGCGACGAUCUUUAGCUGGUCUGAGAGGAUGAUCAGUCACACUGGAACUGAGACACGGUCCAGACUCCUACGGGAGGCAGCAGUCGGGAAUAUUGGACAAUGGGGGAAACCCUGAUCCAGCCAUGCCGCGUGUGUGAAGAAGGCCCUAGGGUUGUAAAGCACUUUUAGUAGUGAGGAAGGCUCAGUAGUUAAUACCUGCUGGGAUUGACGUUAGCUACAGAAAAAGCACCGGCUAAUUUCGUGCCAGCAGCCGCGGUAAUACGAAAGGUGCAAGCGUUAAUCGGAAUUACUGGGCGUAAAGCGCGCGUAGGCG